rnacentral:rRNA from 1 species
AGAGUUUGAUCCUGGCUCAGGACGAACGCUGGCGGCGCGCCUAACACAUGCAAGUCGAACGAGCGAGAGAGAGUUUACUUUCUCGAGCGAGUGGCGAACGGGUGAGUAACGCGUGAGGAACCUGCCUCAAAGAGGGGGACAACAGUUGGAAACGACUGCUAAUACCGCAUAAGCCCACGACCCGGCAUCGGGUAGAGGGAAAAGGAGCAAUCCGCUUUGAGAUGGCCUCGCGUCCGAUUAGCUAGUUGGUGAGGUAACGGCCCACCAAGGCGACGAUCGGUAGCCGGACUGAGAGGUUGAACGGCCACAUUGGGACUGAGACACGGCCCAGACUCCUACGGGAGGCAGCAGUGGGGAAUAUUGCACAAUGGGGGAAACCCUGAUGCAGCGACGCCGCGUGGAGGAAGAAGGUCUUCGGAUUGUAAACUCCUGUUGUUGAGGAAGAUAAUGACGGUACUCAACAAGGAAGUGACGGCUAACUACGUGCCAGCAGCCGCGGUAAAACGUAGGUCACAAGCGUUGUCCGGAAUUACUGGGUGUAAAGGGAGCGCAGGCGGGAAGACAAGUUGGAAGUGAAAUCCAUGGGCUCAACCCAUGAACUGCUUUCAAAACUGUUUUUCUUGAGUAGUGCAGAGGUAGGCGGAAUUCCCGGUGUAGCGGUGGAAUGCGUAGAUAUCGGGAGGAACACCAGUGGCGAAGGCGGCCUACUGGGCACCAACUGACGCUGAGGCUCGAAAGUGUGGGUAGCAAACAGGAUUAGAUACCCUGGUAGUCCACACUGUAAACGAUGAUUACCAGGUGUUGGAGGAUUGACCCCUUCAGUGCCGCAGUUAACACAAUAAGUAAUCCACCUGGGGAGUACGACCGCAAGGUUGAAACUCAAAGGAAUUGACGGGGGCCCGCACAAGCAGUGGAGUAUGUGGUUUAAUUCGACGCAACGCGAAGAACCUUACCAAGUCUUGACAUCCUGCGACGGUUCUGGAAACAGAACUUUCCUUCGGGACGCAGAGACAGGUGGUGCAUGGUUGUCGUCAGCUCGUGUCGUGAGAUGUUGGGUUAAGUCCCGCAACGAGCGCAACCCUUAUGGUCAGUUACUACGCAAGAGGACUCUGGCCAGACUGCCGUUGACAAAACGGAGGAAGGUGGGGAUGACGUCAAAUCAUCAUGCCCUUUAUGACUUGGGCUACACACGUACUACAAUGGCGUUAAACAAAGAGAAGCAAGACCGCGAUACGAUCAAAUCCUUAAAGCCUGUCUCAGUUCGGACUGGGGUCUGCAACCCGACCCCACGAAGCUGGAUUCGCUAGUAAUCGCGCAUCAGCCAUGGUGCGGUGAAUACGUUCCCGGGCCUUGUACACACCGCCCGUCACACCAUGAGAGCCGGGGGGACCC